rnacentral:rRNA from 1 species
GAUGAACGCUAGCGGCAGGCCUAAUACAUGCAAGUCGAACGAUAGUCUUGUCUUCGGAUGAGAUGAGAGUGGCGCACGGGUGAGUAACACGUAAGUAAUCUACCCUCGAGUGGGGAAUAACAACCGGAAACGGUUGCUAAUACCGCAUAAUGCAGCGGCACCGCAAGGUGACAGUUGUUAAAGGAGCAAUCCGCUUGAGGAGGAGCUUGCGGCAGAUUAGCUAGUUGGUAAGGUAAUGGCUUACCAAGGCUACGAUCUGUAUCCGGUCUAAGAGGACGGUCGGACACACUGACACUGAAUAACGGGUCAGACUCCUACGGGAGGCAGCAGUCGGGAAUUUUGGGCAAUGGGCGAAAGCCUGACCCAGCAACGCCGCGUGAAGGAUGAAGUAUUUCGGUAUGUAAACUUCGAAAGAAUAGGAAGAAUAAAUGACGGUACUAUUUAUAAGCUCCGGCUAACUACGUGCCAGCAGCCGCGGAAGUGACGUCAGA